UGAAUGGGUCUCUAUACUUUCCGAAUGCACUGUAUAUGCAUUCAUUGCACUGCCGAAUAGGAGAGUUAUAGCUCGUCUUUAAGGAAGAACCCCCAUUACGCCGCUUCCUAGUAGUCCAGUCAGCCAAAGAGACAGCUGCAAAGUGGAAGGACUGUACAGUACAGUGGAGUCCUCCAUUGAGCUGGAUGUUAAGAUGGUCUUUGUAAAGUUCUGGAUGGGGAAAAGUUCCAGAUCACGAUGACGAACUGUUUCUAAACGGGUACUGCACUAUUUUACAACCUGCAGUGAAACCUGUGGAUAAAUUCGGGAUCUGGUAUAGAGUACGCAAGUACAAAACCACUAGAGGGCAGCCAAUUCAAAUUGUCAUGGUGACUAGUAUUGUCCGCCUCGCAGACGGCCCUACUCGGUUCACACUCGGGUAGCCUUUGUCUGUGGAUCUUCUCUUUACCAAACAGGGUGGGGCAACUCCCACCGCGCGUUGUAUACCUGGAUUAUCCUGCGGUAUGAGCUUCUUUCCCGGUCCCUGUCUUUCUACCCUAAACUAUUUUAGCGUGGCCCGGGCAUGUUAUCUCGCCAUUCACACAGGAUACGUUCAGCGAAGGGGUUAAACAAUGUUUUGUUAUAAACGUGGCAUAAUCUCAGACACUCAUGCUAGUGACUGGUCCUCCCCUUUCUAGUUGACCGGACAACACCAUCACGGUUACCCUAGUGCUCCCCUGUGGUUUCCUGCUCGAGCCCACAAUAUGGUCUGGCCUUGGGCCACCUAAGGUGACGACAAUCUGUGGUGUCAUCUGCUUCAUGGCAGGCCCACGUGCCACCAGGCAACUCUACCAGCUCUAUCCCAGGGCUGAGAUUUUACGGGGGUUUCGCCAUAUAAGAUGAAGCUACGCCCUCCGGCAGAGGAACAUCUGCAUACAGUCUACUCGCAUCUGUCAUUUCCUCUGCCUUUGACUGGGUUUUGCUGCUCUCCAGCCGUUGAUUUACGUUUAUUGCAUGACAUAAGUAUUUGAUCACCUACCAACCAGUAAGAAUUCCGGCUCUCACAGACCUGUUAGUUUUUCUUUAAGAAGCCCUCCUGUUCUCUACUCAUUACCUGUAUUAACUGCACCUGUUUGAACUCGUUACCUGUAUAAAAGACACCUGUCCACACACUCAAUCAAACAGACUCCAACCUCUCCACAAUGGCCAAGACCAGAGAGCUGUGUAAGGAC